GACGAACGCUGGCGGCGUGCUUAACACAUGCCAGUCGAACGGAAAGGCCCUGCUUUUGUGGGGUGCUCGAGUGGCGAACGGGUGAGUAACACGUGAGUAACCUGCCCUUGACUUUGGGAUAACUUCAGGAAACUGGGGCUAAUACCGGAUAGGAGCUCCUGCUGCAUGGUGGGGGUUGGAAAGUUUCGGCGGUUGGGGAUGGACUCGCGGCUUAUCAGCUUGUUGGUGGGGUAGUGGCUUACCAAGGCUUCGACGGGUAGCCGGCCUGAGAGGGUGACCGGCCACAUUGGGACUGAGAUACGGCCCAGACUCCUACGGGAGGCAGCAGUGGGGAAUAUUGCACAAUGGGCGGAAGCCUGAUGCAGCAACGCCGCGUGCGGGAUGACGGCCUUCGGGUUGUAAACCGCUUUCGCCUGUGACGAAGCGUGAGUGACGGUAAUGGGUAAAGAAGCACCGGCUAACUACGUG
rnacentral:rRNA from 1 species